GAUGAACGCUGGCGGCGUGCCUAAUACAUGCAAGUCGAGCGAACGGACGAGACGCUUGCUUCUCUGAUGUUAGCGGCGGACGGGUGAGUAACACGUGGAUAACCUACCUAUCAGACUGGGAUAACUUCGGGAAACCGGAGCUAAUACCGGAUAAUAUUUUGAACCGCAUGGUUCAAAAGUGAAAGACGGUCUUGCUGUCACUUCUCGAUGGAUCCGCGCUGCAUUAGCUAGUUGGUAAGGUAACGGCUUACCAAGGCAACGAUGCAUAGCCGACCUGAGAGGGUGGUAGGCCACACUGGAACUGAGACAGGCACAAGACUCCUACGGGAGGAAGCAGUAGGGAAUCUUCCGCAAUGGGCGAAAGCAUGACGGAGCAACGCCGCGUGAGAUAUAAAGGUCUUCGGAGCGUAAAACUCUGUUAUUAGGUAAGAACAGAUGUGGAAGUAACUGUGCACAUCGUGACGGUACCUAAUCAGAAAGCCACGGCUAACUACGUG
rnacentral:rRNA from 1 species